rnacentral:lncRNA from 1 species
GAUAUAUUAACUGAAAUGAAAUUAGCUAUUGGAUAAUAUUUGGAAUACAGAAUAUCAAAACUCCCAAAGAGGGAAACAGGCAUGCACGCCAUUAAUUACCUCUUAGUCUCAUGGGUAUAAUCCUAUAUUUAAUAGAAUUAAUCAAGGGGGAAAAAUCUACAAUUGCCCUAGAGCCUUCAAUCUCAAUGAUAAUAAAUUAAGCUGUUUUUAGGGAAAAAAAAAAAAAAAAAAAA